UUGAAGUCAUAGAAUCCCUUGACACAUCCAGCUUCAUCAACGCACUAAGGCGCUUUCUUGCUGUGCGCGGUCCUGUCAAACACAUCCGCUCAGACCGUGGUACCAACUUUGUUGGUGCUUGCAAGCAGUUGAAGAUACCUUCAAACAUUGACGACACAACGAUAAAGACUUACCUGUCAGGCCAAGGUUGUUCUUGGACCUUUAACCCUCCGCACGCUUCCCAUUUUGGCGGUGCAUGGGAAAGAAUGAUUGGUCUUGCAAGGAGAAUCUUGGACUCCAUGUUCCUUCGUCUGAAGGACAAACUUACUCAUGAGGUACUAGUGACUUUCAUGGCAGAAGUGACAGCCAUUAUAAAUGGCAGGCCUCUUGUUCCAGUGACAACUGACGUUGACGACUCAUUUAUACUUACUCCAGCUGCUCUUCUCACUCAAAAAGUGAAUGUCCUUUCUGCUCCUACUGGAGAGUUUGGAGUUUCAGACCUCUACAAACACCAGUGGCGGCAGGUCCAACACCUUCUGGGACAGAUGGCGAAAGCAAUUCCUCCCGACACUACAGGCACGCAAGAAGUGGCAGUCCACUCAUCCGAACAUCAACCCAGGAAGUGUUGAUCUCCUCAAGGAUAGCCAAGUACCAAGAAAUGAAUGGCCACUUGGACUGGUAACGCAGACCUUCCCCAGCGAAGACGGGAAGGUGCGAAAGGUCGAGAUCAAGGUCACACGAACAGGAGUGACUAAACUUUUUCUUAGGCCUGUUUCUGAGAUGGUGCUUCUUCUCCCCCCAGAGGCCCAGUGAAGAGAACUGUCUAGGAUCUAUUGAGUGGCGUGUAUUCACGCCAGGCGGGGAGUGUUUUGUUACAAUUGUUAAGCCAGCAUGUUAAUACGUUUUAUUUUGAAAACAGGAAAUGUCCCGUAACUUCCGGUAGCUUGUAAUCAGGAAGUAAACAAGAGCAUGGCUGAGACGCCGUCUUCAUUAGUUUUGUAAUCCAGUGGAAUCUGCAUACAUCUUGUACCUUUUGAUAGCAUCGUUGUUUUACACUUUCCUAUGUCAAUAAACCUGUGGACAACGGACAA